CAAGCUGAUCGAGAGCCAGAUGAAGGAGAUCGACCAGCGACUAGCAAGAGCUGAAACCGAUCUGUGCUGGACCAGCCCUGAUGCUUGGGAGUACAUCAAGGGAACUCGUGACCUUGUGAUGGAUCUCUCUGAACGCGUUUCCACGUCUCAGAAGAACAUCCAGAUUAUAAGGGAUAUGCUGUUGGUGUUUGCCUCUAAGCCUCUAUUUGAGAGAAAGGAGGAUCGGACCAACACGCUGCUAAAUCUGGAGGAAAAGGAGGAGAAACUGAAGAAAACGUACGCGGCCAUCACAAAGUCGGGCGAAAGAUCCACCGGCUGGUG